UGCUCAGCAGUAAAAGCAGGGAGAAGGAGGACAAAGUUGGGACAUUUGAAGUGAUGACCUUUAUUUUCACUGUUAAUGAAGCCCUGUUUUCCUGUAGAUUGCUGAAUAUGCACCUGCCUGUGGGAAGUGGAAGAAGAUGCAUAAGUUUUCUCUUUCCCACUAUUUUGUAUGAAUCUUAAUUCAUUCCUAGCCAUUUGAAGGUGACAGGUGAUGAAGAGAGCGUGUUGAAACAGCUAAGCAGAAAAAUGAGUUGUGCUCAUGAUCUCCCAAGGCACUGACAAUGCUGUGCCUGCAUCCAUACUCCAGACUGACACUGAAACCUGAGAGUCUGCUAGCAUGCUCUGACACUGCUUUCUCUGCUGCAGCUUUAUUUCCUACAAGCAUUUUUAAGCUACGUCUACCUGCUGGUGUGCCAGAUGUGAGGAGGUACUUUCUUUAUCUUAUCCCAUAGCAUGGGCCAAGUUAUGUUUUUGGCAUCAAAUAUAAUUCCUCUCUUAUUGUCAGUUAAUUUCUCUUUUUUUGACAAUUUUUAAGUGAGUAGGUUUUGUUUGGUUUUUUGUUUUUUGUUUUUUGUUUUUUUUUUCCUUAUAAAGCAUGAGGAGAAUUGGCAAGAACUGGAGAAGAUUUUAAUGCAUUUCAACUGCAAUCAACCUUUUUAUUCAAUCAAAGAGUUCAAUGAAUUAACAAGCAAUGACUUCACUUCUCAGUUGCUUUCUUGCUAUUAUUUUUUAAUCAAUGCUGCAGGGACAGUAUGUGAGAGUAAUGAUUUCAGCACAUGAGAUGAACUGUGAGCUCUCACGACUUUGGAAGUUAAGCUUGUAGACUGCUGGAUCUCACAGUUAAAAGAAUUUGUAGAACAGUGACCAAGUGUUCCCCUCAAAGCUGAUGAUUCUGUGAUAAAAAUAUAAAAUUAACAUUAUUUCUAAAACUCUCAAAUAAAUUUUGGAAAAAUAAGAAUGGUUGUAUAGUCACAUUUUUGGUAAAGUGACUAAAAAUAUGGAAUGAUUUGAACAUUCAAAAGCUAACAAUAAGAACUUUUAAUCAUUAUGUUGUGAAAAGCAUAAUAAAGUAAAAAAAUAUAGCCCAGCCUUUGGCAAAAUAUUGUUAUGAAAAUUUCCCUUUUUGAUUUGCUAGAAAAUCUGUAUCUAGGCAGUGUUAUUGUUAUCCUGUGAGUUUCAUGACAGGGAAAAAACCCAAUAUGAUGAUGAAUAAAAAGCAGAAAUAGAAAUUUUAAAUAGUAAUUUUAAAACUCCAUGGUAACACUGAGUUGGAUAAACAAGAAAUCAAGUCUGGUUUUAUUAAAUUAUUUGCCAAAGUUGCAAUGGGUUUGUGAAACCAGUGCAGCAAUCUCAGUCUCCCCACUCUGCUCUCUCUCCUUCACAAUUCCUGGAGCCAUGAAGACUGAGCUGGUUUUUGUGUUUCUCCUUCUUCUUCACCAUCAUAUUCCUGUUUCUCUGUAGCCCAGUCAUCAAGUAGUCUUCAAUUCAAUAUGUGCUGCUGCUCUCUAAAACAUUCUAUUUUCCACACAGUCCCACCCCUUUCCUUGCCCAAAUUGUAUGAUAUUAAAUGGACAGGAAGUACCAUAGUCCAAGUAUGCAAUUUGCAGCCACAUAAAAUGUCUGGAGAUGCAAAUUUAGAAAAUAUUCAGGAAGAAAACUCAAAGCAAUAAAGCAUGAAAUAUUGUAGUGGUGAAUUAAUAAAGAAUGCACAAUUAACUUAGACACUGUACAAAAUUGCUUGCAUGGAGAAUUAAAACAAUACAACAAAAUGCAAAAAUCACAAACCCCAUUUGGAAAAUAAAACAUAAUGAAGAACGUGGUAUGUCCUAUGUUAUUACAACUUAUAAAAUAUAAUAUUUAAUACAUAAAUGUUGCCAUUUAUGAUGAGAGUAUAAUGAGAGAAAAUAAUUUUUUUAGUUAAAAAGGUCAGUAACACAAUAGACUUAUUGCAAAAUACACUUCAUUUAUACCUUUAAAUUUUUGCAGAUUUUAGGAAAUAGUUUGCAUGUACAAGUUACAAGAAUGUUCAUAUCUCUAUGCUCUAAGUACCUUUUCUAAUCUUUGUGCUGAUUCAAUGUUGUAUUUGUAUUCAUAAAGUCUAAUAUGAACACAGAGUAAAAUUUGUACUGUUUAUGAUGUCAAUAUAGGAUUAUAGCAAAAAAAGAAAGUAAUCAACAGGAUUUAGUUAUAUAACUGAGGGAGAAAUACCUUGAUUUGACUUAUUACUGAAAGAACUGAACAGAGAGUUAUAAAGACGGUCAGAGAAAUGGAAUUAAGAAAUAUUGUGCUGAAAGUUCAUAAUGAUAAACCAAAAAAUAUGAAAAAUAUAUUUGGUCAUCAGACAGAUUUGAAUUUAUUUACUCAGUCUGAAUACCUGGUGUUGGGAAGGAUGAAUCAGGAAAACCUUAUAAAUAUAAUUGCCUAGCAAAAGAUUUCAAGAAUAUGGAAACCAUAAGUGAAAUUGAAAUGAAAGCCAUCUUUGAGAUACCAAACCUUAGUUACUAAAUAACUAGAGGACAAGAGGAUGACCAGCCAAAAGUAAUCUCCUCUUGAUAGAACAAUGCCUUCUGCUGGAGAGAAGGUCCAAAGGUCAGAGAAGACCCUGCUAGCUUGGCAGAAGGAGUCCAAAGAGUAGUUUUUAGGGUUUAAAGUAUAACAAAUUAUGGUAAUGUAAUGAUUCUUAUAGGCUGUAUGUAAAUGCUAUAGGAUUUGUACCAUGUAUUAGAUUGGAUAGUGGAAAUUAGAAUGUUGUGUUGUGUUGAUGCAACCAGAAAUGUGUAUUCUAUCACCAUCUGUUGUAUUCUAUCACCAUCUGUUGUAUUCUAUCACCAUCUGUUAAAACCGGGUGGGGCAGUGAUUCCUUAUCUCCGUGGCACAUACCAUCUGCUAAUGGGCCAUCUUUAAGACAAGGUGAGGCAAUCAUCUUUAUCUUUUCCACAACCCAUCCUCC